UAACAGGCCUUUGCUUCGUGCAAUACCCAA
rnacentral:piRNA from 1 species